AUUGAACGCUGGCGGCAGGCUUAACACAUGCAAGUCGAGCGGGGGAAGUUGCUUCGGUAAUUGACCUAGCGGCGGACGGGCGAGUAAUACUUAGGAAUCGGCCUAUUAAUGGGGGACAACAUCUCGAAAGGGAUGCUAAUACCGCAUACGCCCUACGGGGGAAAGCAGGGAUCACUUGUGACCUUGCGUUAAUAGAUGAGCCUAAGUCGAAUUAGCUAGUUGGUGGGGUAAAGGCCUACCAAGGCGACGAUCUGUAGCGGGUCUGAGGGGAUGAACCGCCACACUGGGACUGAGACACGGCCCAGACUCCUACGGGAGGCAGCAGUGGGGAAUAUUGGACAAUGGGGGGAACCCUGAUCCAGCCAUGCCGCGUGUGUGAAGAAGGCCUUAUGGUUGUAAAGCACUUUAAGCGAGGAGGAGGCUCUUUUGGUUAAUACCCAAGAUGAGUGGACGUUACUCGCAGAAUAAGCACCGGCUAACUCUGUGGCAGCAGCCGCCGUAA
rnacentral:rRNA from 1 species